rnacentral:snRNA from 1 species
GUGCUCGCUUCAGCAGCACUAUACAAAAAAAUUGGAAGGAUACAGAGAAGAUUAGCAUGGUCCCUGCACAAGGAUGACACUCAAACUUGUGAAGCGUCCCAUAAAAGU